rnacentral:SRP_RNA from 1 species
GCUGGGCAUGGUGGCGCAGGCCUGUAAUCCCAGCUACUCGGGAAGCUGAGGCAGGAGAAUUGCUUGAACCCAGGAGGCGGAGGUUGCAGUUAGCCGAGAUUGCGCCACUGCACUCCAGCCUGGGUGACACAGCAAGACUCCGUCUCAA